rnacentral:rRNA from 1 species
UGGGGAAUAUUGGACAAUGGGCGAAAGCCUGAUCCAGCAAUACCGCGUGUGUGAAGAAGGCCUUAGGGUUGUAAAGCACUUUCAAUUGGAAGGAAAAAAGUGAGGUCAAUACCCUCACUCUUGACAUUACCUUUAGAAGAAGCACCGGCUAACUCCGUGCCAGCAGCCGCGGUAAUACGGAGGGUGCGAGCGUUAAUCGGAAUUACUGGGCGUAAAGAGUGUCGUAGGCGGCUUUUCAAGUGCAUGGUGAAAUCUUUGGGCUCAACUCAAAAAUUGCUGUGCAUACUGAUUGGCUAGAGUGCGCUAGAGGAUGCUGGAAUUCUCGGUGGAGGGGUGAAAUCCGUUGAUAUCGAGAAGAACACCAAGGGCGAAGGCAGGCAUCUGGGGCGUUACUGACGCUGAUGAACGAAAGCUAGGGGAGCAAAAGGG